AGUGCGUAACAGAGUUAGACAAAAUUGCAAAGUCAUUAAUAAAUUAAAGAAAUAAACGAUUUCAGUGCGAUUUAAAAUAAAAAUUUGUGCAAAUAAUUGCUGUGAAUUUAUGGAAACAUUUGAAUACACAAUGUGGAAAAAAUUUAAAUUGAAUUGAGAGGUUUGUUCAAAUGUGAAAAGCAACUUUCGUAUAAAAAAGUGAAAGGAAAGUGUAAAGUGUGUAAAAGUGCUUGGAAAUUUAUUAAAUUAAUAUUGAAAGUUGCAUCAGCGUUUUGUUUGUGCGCGUGUUAAGAAAUGUGUUGUGAUAUAAAAACAAUAUUAGUGCAAGGAAAUCAUACGAAAAAGGAUUACCGGGAAGAUGCUGUUGACUAUAAGGAACGACAAAUGUAAAGGGUUCAUCGGCAGACACCGACCGAGACCUCUUGCAGUGCAUAUGAAAGUGCUAUUUGGUUGAUGUGAAGUGAAAAGUGUGAUAAAGUGAAAGUGAAGUAAGUGCAUAAAGUGAAAUUAAAUUGUGUGAAAAAAGUGUUUUCAAAUAUAAUUGGAGCGGAUGCUUUUACAAAAUGGUUGCAGAACGGCGGGGAGGAGACCUUGCGCUGAUUAGGGGUGCCACAUGCGAGCGUGUUUGCUGAUAACCCCGCGCACAGCGAUUGCACGUCAGUCCGGUCACGCCUUCUUUGCAAGGGCACUGACCGCUCAAAUGAUUGCAAGUUUUGCCGGUAGAGCCAACAGGAUGACAGUCGCAGCCUGAAAUUAAAUAAAAAGUAGUGAAAAGAAUGAUUAUUAAGUUCGUUAAACAUCUUCAAUAUGAAAAAAUUCCCCAGGAUCAUCAUGAAAAUACGGAAGCAAAGGAUGACAUUUAAGGAAUUAAGGAAUUUAAGGAAAGUUGCAAAAAGUAACUUUAGACUGGAUGGUCGUUGGGAUUGAAUACUGAAAAUACAACUGGAAAGGAUUGUGAAUCGUGCGAAUCCAAUUAACGACAGCCACAGGGAAUACAUAAAAUAUUUGCUCCAAGCUUAAAAGCACUUUAAUAAUAAAAUUAUAAUAAUAUUAUUUCUUUAUAAAUCAUGAUUCUUUAUAAAUUAUUUAUAAGUUAUUAUUAUUAUUAGUAAUAUUAUUCAAGCCAAUCAUUUGUUAAGUCCGAUUGCCGCCAACUAUGCACAAAUUUAUUAAGUUCUGUAAGAAAUUAUAAAUAGCUAUAUGAUAAAAAACUUUACCUAUUAUAAACUAUAAGACAAAUAAAAUACUUUAUAAAAAGUUAAGAAACUAAAAUCAUCGUAUGUUAAAAAAUAAUUGUAUAUGGUAAAUAGUAAGUAACUUUACCUCAAUAAACGUUUUAUAAGAC